GUUUAGGGUUUAGAGUUUAGGGUUUAGGGUUUAGGGUUUAGAGUUUAGGGUUUAGGGUUUAGGGUUUAGGGUUUAGAGUUUAAGGUUUAGGGUUUAGUGUUGAGAAAUGAGGUUUUGGGGAUAAGAAUUCAAAUUUUGAAAAAUAAAAAAAUUAAAAUUUUCAAAGGAUAAACUUAGAAAUGUGCUAUUUUGGUCAUUUUAGUUUUGGAGUGCUAUUUUUGUGAUAUAAACUUAGAAAAGUGCUAUUUUGGAAAUUUGUCCGGCAAUAAACUUGAAUGAUUUUUUUCUCGCUUUCAUUUGACCAGAGAACACACAUAUUUAUAGGAGGGGUAAGUCGGCAACCAUUACCUUCACCAAAAAGUAAAUAAUAUUUUACUACCAAAAGGAUAAACAUUAUCCUUAUAUUGGAUAAUCAUUCAUUAUCUAAUAACUACUACAUAUUUAAAUAAUUAUAUU
rnacentral:lncRNA from 1 species